GAUGAACGCUGGCGGUAUGCUUAACACAUGCAAGUCGAACGGUACCUCCGGGUAUAGUGGCGGACGGGUGAGUAACGCGUGAGAAUCUAUCUUCAGGUCGGGGACAACAGUUAGAAAUGACUGCUAAUACCGGAUGUGCCGAAAGGUAAAAGAUUUAUUGCCUGAAAAAGAGCUCGCGUCAGAUUAGCUAGUAGGUGGUGUAAGAGACUACCUAGGCUUCGAUCUGUAGCUGGUCUGAGAGGACGAUCAGCCACACUGGAACUGAGACACGGUCCAGACUCCUACGGGAGGCAGCAGUGGGGAAUUUUCCGCAAUGGGCGAAAGCCUGACGGAGCAAUACCGCGUGAGGGACGAAGGCUCUUGGGUCGUAAACCUCUUUUCUCAAGGAAGAUUCAGACGGUACUUGAGGAAUAAGCAUCGGCUAACUCUGUG
rnacentral:rRNA from 1 species